ACGCUGUCUCCUAGACAGGAUGAGAUCACUGCACCCAUGAACUCUCUGCAGCCAUGGUUACCAGCAUGGAAUCAAGCCGCCAAGAUCAGCCCUCACUUCAGCAGGCAGCACUGAUGGGCCCCGGUCCUCGUGGUUACAGAACAAACAUCUUACCCAUUGACCCAUCACUUCAGCCCAGGAAAAAGGUUCCUCAAGGCCCAACGUAAGCUUCUGGAAUUUAUAGCCACAGAGCUCGAACCCAGAUGUGGCCUGCGUUCCCCCAGGGUAUGGAAAGCAAUCUUAGCAUCUUACCCGCUGAUCCAGACCUCGAGCCAAUCACGUGGCGUGUUCAGAUGCUACAAGACUCUUCAGGACCCACAGUCAUGUAUUGUUUCGAUCCCACUCCCUUCCCUUCUGCUGCUGAAGAAGGCACUGAAAUACCCCACCCUCUCUCCCCCUCCUCAAAAUAAAUACUCCGCAACGUUCUGAAAAUCUCCAGCAAUUAGCUGGUACCAUCACCUCUGAUUAGCCACCGGCAAACGCGGUGGAGAUAAUAAAGCUUACCAGGAGGCAAGCAUGAA